CCUCCAGCUCUGGUGAAGCCGUGCCGCCUCCGCGAGGAGGGACCAGGAGGCAGUUCUUGGCGCACUUCGUGUGUCCCGGCCUUUCCAUUGGAAUCUAUUCAGUAUUAAAUGGAAAACAACACGAGGAAGCGGACGCGCAAGGGUGAAUCGCCGCUAAUCCUGGGCCCGGGGUCAACUUUGUACCCAGACUUUCAGCACAUUAAGCUCAACAUAACUUUAUAAAGAGUAGCCCUGACAGGCAGAAGGAGUCUGGUGUGAGGAAUGUUUUUGAGAGGCUACAGACAUCCUCCGGUGAAACGGUCAGCGUGGAAAAAAACGUGGAGCUCCCAUACGGGUUUUAUGAGACAGCCCCAUGUGCGUGGGAGGAUUCCUGUUAAAAGGAAGAUGUAGCCCACGAUGGAAAAAAAGCAUAUCGUUGGUUAAUGGUGUAUGACGAUUGCUGCUUUUUCCUAAAUGGUACCAACUGUAAGGAGACCCAUUAGUGCUUUGAAAGCCAGCCAUCAGAGUUUGGAGAAGGUGGAUCUUUUCAAGACCAGAGCUCCUACCACAGGAAACUACCAUCUUAAAGCUGAGAAUGAUUUUAAAGUGCAUCAGUUGAACCCCGACGAAAAAGCUAUUCAAUGAAGUGGAGGUCAUAAUCAAGAAGAUCUUUCUGAGGCCCCACUGAUCUAACUUCUCUCAUCUUGAGUAUGUUUCCUAUGCUGAAUGUCUCUAUCUGGAGCCGGUGGUCCUAAAGGUUGCGAUAGUUCCCAGACACUGUUGGACUUCUGCUGCAUCUCCCAUUCAGCCUGAGUUGUGUGAGUGCAGGUAACAGAACUCAUGCUGGAGAGUUCACAAAUCAAAAGGAAUCCCAGAUGACAUACUGCCCCAGUCUUCUCUUCAGAACCUGUCCACAAGGCAUCUAAAUCUCAUGAAUUUGAGAAGCAAAGUAUUACACAAAAACAUUAUAGAGGCCAGGGUUGUAGCUGAUUCUGCUUGUCCUUCUCAGGAAGAGUCUGAGUAAUCUUAAACAGGACAUCUGGAUGACGAUGGCUGAUAGAAAAGCAUAAGCACUUCUUAAUCUAAUAAUGCUAUCAUUGUUGCUGUGGUGCAGGUUCAUAUAAGAACUCUUCCUUUGCUUUGGCAAGUUCAUUUUUUUGUGAUUUUUAGAUAUAUUCCAGGUUGGUUUUUCUUCAUCAUUUCCAGACACUUUUCAAUAAUAUCAGCAAUAAAGAAGUAUUAAAUAGUUAUAUACAAGAUAGGAAAUUAAAGAAGAAUUGGCAGCUUUUUAGAGUAAUUAUAUUCCACCAAUAAUGUUGAUGAAAAGGUCACAAAUAAAAAUACUGAAAAGUCUGUCCUUAAGGAAUGAUCAGCUUAGACAAAUAUUAUGUAAACCUAUAAUUACAUAAAAAACAAAAAAGGCAAUAAACCAAAGUUGGAAGCCACAGGCCCAGGUGUUCUGACAGUUCAAUAUUAAAAGAGCUUGAGGGGGAAUAGUUGGAGCGAUUGGCAAAUACAAUAAAUGCUAUUAAAGAACCAAUCUAUGGAAAUACAACCAACAUGGAAAGAAGCCUAGAUAACUUUAAUUUACAAAGAAAGUAAUGAUCUGGAGAAGCCAAUCAUGCAGACCAAUUUCUUACAGCAAUAUUAGUUGAAUGACUAACAAAAUGUGUUUUAGAUAUAAUACAUAUCAAUCAAAAAGGUUAUGUUCUGAAGAGAAAUAUCAAGAACAUCAGGUUUAUAAUCAAUACAAUAGAAAAGGAAGAAGCACUCAUCUAUCAUGGUUCCGAUAGAUGAAACCUUUUAAAAGAACUUUAAGGCAAAGAUUUAUUCCUCAAAGAACAUUUUAUUCAGAAACAAAAUAUCGGCACUUACAUAGUUGAACCCAAGACUAAAGUUUCCUUCCCCCCCCCCGAUACAAAGUAACAAGUUGCAAUGCCCACCCCAGGAAGGCUGUCAUAAAUCACAUUCACCAAUUAUUCUAAAAUGUGGGCUCUCUUCCCAACUUUUCAACCUGCCAAAACUUUAUCUAACAAAUUUUUAGAUAUAUUCCAGGUUGGUUUUUCUUCAUCAUUUCCAGACACUUUUCAAUAAUAUCAGCAAUAAAGAAGUAUUAAAUAGUUAUAUACAAGAUAGGAAAUUAAAGAAGAAUUGGCAGCUUUUUAGAGUAAUUAUAUUCCACCAAUAAUGUUGAUGAAAAGGUCACAAAUAAAAAUACUGAAAAGUCUGUCCUUAAGGAAUGAUCAGCUUAGACAAAUAUUAUGUAAACCUAUAAUUACAUAAAAAACAAAAAAGGCAAUAAACCAAAGUUGGAAGCCACAGGCCCAGGUGUUCUGACAGUUCAAUAUUAAAAGAGCUUGAGGGGGAAUAGUUGGAGCGAUUGGCAAAUACAAUAAAUGCUAUUAAAGAACCAAUCUAUGGAAAUACAACCAACAUGGGAAGAAGCCUAGAUAACUUUAAUUUACAAAGAAAGUAAUGAUCUGGAGAAGCCAAUCAUGCAGACCAAUUUCUUACAGCAAUAUUAGUUGAAUGACUAACAAAAUGUGUUUUAGAUAUAAUACAUAUCAAUCAAAAAGGUUAUGUUCUGAAGAGAAAUAUCAAGAACAUCAGGUUUAUAAUCAAUACAAUAGAAAAGGAAGAAGCACUCAUCUAUCAUGGUUCCGAUAGAUGAAACCUUUUAAAAGAACUUUAAGGCAAAGAUUUAUUCCUCAAAGAACAUUUUAUUCAGAAACAAAAUAUCGGCACUUACAUAGUUGAACCCAAGACUAAAGUUUCCUUCCCCCCCCCCGAUACAAAGUAACAAGUUGCAAUGCCCACCCCAGGAAGGCUGUCAUAAAUCACAUUCACCAAUUAUUCUAAAAUGCGGGCUCUCUUCCCAACUUUUCAACCUGCCAAAACUUUAUCUAACAAAUGUUAUGGCUAACAGAAACCGCUCAAGCAUUCCCCCUUUUCCCUCUUCUACAUCUGAGAAUCCCAAAUAACAGAAAAAAGCACAAGGAAAGCAAAAGGUAAAAUGGCUAUAAUUUCUCAACUGUCGCAGCGCUGCCUAUGACAACUUGAAGUUUGUUGAAAUGAAGUGGUGUGAAGAUUUUAACGGAUAACUAGACAACUUGUGACCUGUUGGGCCAUCCUUUCUGGGAUAUUUCCUUACCUAAGCAGAGAAACAGAAAGACCGUUGGUUGAUAGUUAUUGUUUUGAUUUUAAAAUUAAAGAAAAAACAUUUUAUUAAAAAAGGUUUGUAUCAAGACAAAUAUAAAUGCUUUUUGUUUAAUAAAAAUGCUUCUGAUAGCAACAUUUGUGGUGACAUUCUUUAAGAAAACUUUUCACUUCUUUUUCCUCAAUUUAAAGCAACAUGCAGCUGAUCAUGCUGGAUUAUCAGUUUCUUCAGAUAAAUCAGCACAAUCUCCAUGGUUUAUCUUUUCAUUGUGAGAGCAAAGCAUGACUAUAUUGGGAACUGUGCCCACUGAAGAGAGGUACCUUCAUCUUCUGAUAAAUUGAGCUUAAUUCUUGGAAUCAUGACAAUGUCGUUUUUGAGUGUAUCAGUUUUUAUCUUUGUUACAAUAAGAUUCUUGUGGAGUUUUUCCACUAUCAUCUGUGUUCCAUUGCAAGCCUUGGAAGAUUCAAGUUCCUCAUUCAAAUAAUGGGAGAGCCUAUCUUCAAUUCAGUUUAUGUGAUGGUGAUGCAGAGAGUUCAGUUAAGUAAUUGUGUUGGGAAAUGAAUAGUGUUAACUCUUUCACUGACAGCAUUGAAGGAACAAUAUUCUUUCAUCAUCCCAGUGAAGUAUCUAAACCACUUGGAAUUGAUGAGAGAGAAGUUCCCUGAAGAUGGGCUCCAGCAAGAAUCUGAAAGCUUGGAAGACUUAAACUCUGGUCCUGGUGACCAAUCCAGAUUGGAUCUUACAACAUUAUCCUGGGACACGUAUAUUUGCCUUCAUUCGUGAGUACUGGAACAGCACAACUUCUCCAAAUUUCAUUCCCCCAGGAGUCAUUGGUCUUGGGUUUCAGACACAUUUUGUAAGUUAGGUCGUUUGGUUCAAAAAUUGUUGUUAUCCAGAUAACAACAUUAUAUUAUAUAGAUGGAAAUCAGUUUCACUGCCUGGGUAUACAGUUUUGGUUUCUUCUGAGUGGUCA